UAGACUACUCACGGCGCAGUAGGGUACUAUCUAUGACCUCCGCCGCCUUGUCCUCCGGCCCGAAUAAGGCCUUUCCUAACUGGUUGUGUGCGCAACCAGUAUCGGAGCCGUCGCUGCACCCUGGGGAUCGGCGCUAGCGUGUCCCACAUGGCCCACACGGAUUUGGCUAUUUCAUUUUUCCGAGCGCCAUAUGAAGCGAAUACACGUCAGAUCGUAUCUGGCGUCCUACCUACGCUAGCGCAUAGCUCGUACUCGCCUACCUCCCCGUCAACUACACCGUGACUAGGCUACCCCAUCCACCCAAGCCAGAGGCAAUUCAAAAUUCGAAUCCCAGUCGCAGCUGCAUUGACCGGCGGAACCAUGCCCUCCUCAUCGCCGCGCCUAGAUCUCGAUAUUUCUUCACAAAUCACCAAUGAAUCUCGGUGGGGAGUCAUUCACGGAUCUCUUGUUCAGCUUCUGUUCCCAGCCGGUCGCAACCGUGGGCGUCCUAGAUCUGGCAUUGCCAGAGGGAGGGGAGGUGCGGUGAUGGAGGGAAAGAUUGUGAUAGCGAUUCUCCUUCCUCAAGUUCUGCAUCUCAAGUUCAAGAGGCAACGGAAGAUUUUUUCAAUGUCCCAGACAUUGACCAAACCGACAGUCACAGAGAGCAUCCAUCUGAAUCGCAACACGCUCCAACUCUGUGGCCUCAAAGGCAUUUAUACUGUCAAUUUUUGGCCUAGGCAUUGGCAUGUGCAUGAAGACAAUUUUAUGAGCAGUAUACAUAUCAAUGACAUCCCCAUGUCCAUAGGCAGGAAACCAUGACUAUCUGUUGAUCAACGAGCUAGUCAACUAGAGGCUCACUAGGGACACAUUGUGGUCUAUGUAUUCACACAUGUAUUACGAUUUCCGGAUAAAACAAUUACAGCAUGAAUAAUAGACAAUUAUCAUGAACAAGGAAAUAUAAUAAUCAUUUUAUUAUUGCCUCUAGGGCAUAUUUCCAACAAUCUCUCAUGAGCGUGCUCUCUCUCUCUCGGGCGCGCACACAGUCCAAAUCUCGCAGGCAUAGUUGCGGCCGACCUUAUUAGGCUUUUUUCCUGUGGCUGCGCAUGUUCACACCUACACAGAAAAGUGGCUGACAGAAUAUAAAUUUCAGUCGAUUGACACCUAGUCGGUCCCGGCUCGCCUCGCUGCUAAUGUCGCUGACUGAAUCAUCAGCCAUCUUGGCGAUGUCUUUCAGCAGGUAGCCGACGAACCCGUUCAGCAGCUCCUGUGCAAUGCCAAUGCGCAGGACGGUGACCUGACGGGGCUCCCUCCUGACUUCCGGAUGGUGGUAUGACCAAAGCCUCGGUUGCCUAUCCCGACGGCCACCAUGCUGUGACUCCUCCCCGGCGCUAGGCGAAGCAACAUCUUCUGGCUGCCGACGGCUGCCAGCACAGUAUCUUCUCCCGUGUCACGACUGCCGAUGGCAGUGGCAGCCAACUUCUCCACACGCCAUGGCGGCGGCCGGAAGCGACGAGGUCUCUUCCUCCUGCGCGGGCCAGUCAUGUAUACAGUCACCUGCCCAGUCAGCACGGUAAAAGACAACAACACCACAAAUCAUCUCCAGAACCAUUUGGGUGGACAUUUUUCCGGUUUGCCACAUUUUAGGGGCUUAAAAAUAUGUUUUGAAGUUAGGGGUAUUUUUUUCGAAAGUACGCAAAUUGCAUACCAUAGCUUUAUAGAAGAAGAUAAUUGCAAGUACAAGACAGCUACCACUCGCCGCGAACAAUGACCGUAGCACCCACUCCACAACCGGCUAGUCCAAAGACAACCAACAACGACAACACAACUACAACGCAAAAGACCCUACCCUAAUCCGUAAACCUCGCCGCGUCUCAACCAACGACACCAUCCGCCGAAGAACGUUUGCGUCUCUACUGUGUUAAAAAAGAUAAAUAAAUAAAUAGAGAAAUCCCAAUGUACAUUUUUUCCCGUGCACAGCCAAGGAGCUAAAUAAAACCCGAAACUCGUCUAAAAAAGAAUAAAACCCUAGACUACUCACGGCGCAGUAGGGUACUAUCUAUGACCUCCGCCGCCUUGUCCUCCGGCCCGAAUAAGGCCUUUCCUAACUGGCUGCGUGCGCAACCAAUAUCGGAGCCGUCGCUGCACCCUGGGGAUCGGCGCUAGCGUGUCCCACAUGGCCCACACGGAUUUGGCUAUUUCAUUUUUCCGAGCGCCAUAUGAAGCGAAUACACGUCAGAUCGUAUCUGGCGUCCUACCUACGCUAGCGCAUAGCUUGUACUCACCUACCUCCCCGUCAACUACACCGUGACCAGGCUACCCCAUCCACCCAAGCCAGAGGCAAUUCAAAAUUCGAAUCCCAGUCGCAGCUGCAUUGACCGGCGAAACCACGCCCUCCUCAUCGCCGCGCUUGGAUCUCGAUAUUUCUUCACAAAUCAUCAAUGAAUCUCGGUGGGGAGUCAUUCACGGAUCUCUUGUUCAGCUUCUGUUCCCAGCCGGUCACAACCGUGGGCAUCCUAGAUCUGGCAUUGCCAGAGGGAGGGGAGGUGCGGUGAUGGAGGGAAAGAUGGUGAUAGCGAUUCUCCUUCCUCAAGUUCUGCAUCUCAAGUUCAAGAGGCAACGGAAGAUUUUUUUCAAUGUCCCAGACAUUGACCAAACCGACAGUCACAGAGAGCAUCCAUCUGAAUCGCAACGCACUCCAACUAUGUGGCCUCAAAGAGCCCGACUUGGCAAGAUACCCGACUGCUGCGCCUCAUUAUCAGGAAGGAAAAGUUCUUUGGAGAAGGCCAUGAGGAAUUUCACAGAUAAGAAGUCAGGUACCAUCCACAAGCCGGAAAUCAGCCAGGAAUUUGAUUCUUUGGACGAAGCUUAUGACUUCUACAACCUAUACUCUUGGGAGACUGGGUUCGGCAGCAAGUAUGGGCAAUGCAGAAGAAACGUGGACAAGUGCAAGACGGUCCAGGACAUGGUUUUCGGAUGCCAAGUAGUGAAUAUAUUUGAUUCAAGACAUGUAAACUUGGCAGUGUUACAAGGACGUGUACAUUUUGCCAUUGUACUGAUGUGAGUACAAAGUGCAACUGAAAUUGUACAUGGGUUGUUCAUUUUUGACAAAGCGUCA